rnacentral:rRNA from 1 species
AAGAAACCCCUCAGAGUCGCUGUAACCGUUCCUUAGGCGGGGCCAUCAGGAUUAGGUAGAGUAGGGUGAGGCGAUGCCUCCCGAAACCCAGAAGGUGGUGAGCCCAACCUGACUAGAUUCUUGCACGCGAUCCCACAUUCUUGUUUUAUCUACGCCGUUGUCUGGCAGGCCACAGUUGACUGUGUAGGCUCCGGCUUGCCGUGCCUGCCAGAGGACCCCAACCCAGCAGUUAGUGAUGUGUGAGUUAUAUUUUAUAGUUAAAACUUUCAACAACGGAUUUUUUGGUUCUGGCAUCGAUGGAGAACGCAGCGAAAUGCGAUGAGUUAUGAGAAUUGCAGAAUUCAGUGAGUUAUUGCAUCUUUGAACGCACAUUGCGCCCCUUGGUAUUCCGAGGGGCAUGCCUGUUCGAGCGUUAUUACAACCCUCAAACCUAGCUUGGUCUUGGGAAUCGCGGUCCCCGCGGCCCUUAAAAUCAGUGGCGGUGCCUGUAGGCUCUUCGCGUAGUUCAAUUAGCGGAAUAGCAUAUCAAUAAGCUGAGGCGCAUUCAAAAGCGGA